rnacentral:rRNA from 1 species
GGGAAGAGCCCAAACCAAAAAGCUUGCUUGUUGGGGUUGUAGGACACUCUAUACGGAGUUACAAAGGACGACAUUAGACGAAUCAUCUGGAAAGAUGAAUCAAAGAAGGUAAUAAUCCUGUAGUCGAAAAUGUUGUCUCUCUUGAGUGGAUCCUGAGUACGACGGAGCACGUGAAAUUCCGUCGGAAUCUGGGAGGACCAUCUCCUAAGGCUAAAUACUCUCUAGUGACCGAUAGUGAACCAGUACCGUGAGGGAAAGGUGAAAAGCACCCCGGAAGGAGAGUGAAAUAGAACCUGAAACCGUGUGCUUACAAGUAGUCAGAGCCCGUUAAUGGGUGAUGGCGUGCCUUUUGUAGAAUGAACCGGCGAGUUACGAUUUGAUGCAAGGUUAAGCAGUAAAUGUGGAGCCGUAGCGAAAGCGAGUCUGAAUAGGGCGUUUAGUAUUUGGUCGUAGACCCGAAACCAGGUGAUCUACCCUUGGUCAGGUUGAAGUUCAGGUAACACUGAAUGGAGGACCGAACCGACUUACGUUGAAAAGUGAGCGGAUGAACUGAGGGUAGCGGAGAAAUUCCAAUCGAACCUGGAGAUAGCUGGUUCUCUCCGAAAUAGCUUUAGGGCUAGCCUCAAGUGAUGAUUAUUGGAGGUAGAGCACUGUUUGGACGAGGGGCCCCUCUCGGGUUACCGAAUUCAGACAAACUCCGAAUGCCAAUUAAUUUAACUUGGGAGUCAGAACAUGGGUGAUAAGGUCCGUGUUCGAAAGGGAAACAGCCCAGACCACCAGCUAAGGUCCCAAAAUAUAUGUUAAGUGGAAAAGGAUGUGGCGUUGCCCAGACAACUAGGAUGUUGGCUUAGAAGCAGCCAUCAUUUAAAGAGUGCGUAAUAGCUCACUAGUCGAGUGACACUGCGCCGAAAAUGUACCGGGGCUAAACAUAUUACCGAAGCUGUGGAUUGUCCUUUGGACAAUGGUAGGAGAGCGUUCUAAGGGCGUUGAAGCAUGAUCGUAAGGACAUGUGGAGCGCUUAGAAGUGAGAAUGCCGGUGUG